rnacentral:rRNA from 1 species
UACGGGGGGAGCAAGCGUUGUUCGGAUUUACUGGGCGUAAAGGGCGCGCAGGUGGCGGUGUUGGCCCGGCGUGAAAGCCCCCGGCUCAACCGGGGAGGGUCGUCGGGGACCGCACCGCUUGAGGGCGGUAGGGCUGGUGGAAUGCCUGGUGUAGUGGUGAAAUGCGUAGAGAUCAGGCGGAACACCCGUAGCGAAGGCGGCCAGCUGGGCCGUCCCUGACACUGAGGCGCGAAGGCGUGGGGAGCGAACGGGAUUAGAU